CUACGGAAGGUCCGGGCGUUAUCCGGAUUUAUUGGGUUUAAAGGGAGCGCAGGCGGAGAUGCAAGCGUGACGUCAAAUUUCGGGGCUCAACCCCGUCUCGCGUCGCGAACUGCGUCCCUUGGUUGCGGGAAGGGGAGGCGGAACUCGUGGUGUAGCGGUGAAAUGCAUAGAUAUCACGAAGAACUCCGAUCGCGAAGGCAGCCUUCCGGCCCGUCAACGACGCUCAUGCUCGAAGGUGCGGGUAUCAAACAGGAAUAGAUACCCUGGUAGUCCGUACAGUAAACGAUGGACACCCGCGGUUUGGCCUAUAUGGCUGAGCCGCCAAGCGAAAGCGUUAAGUGUCCCACCUGGGGAGUACGCCGGCAACGGUGAAACUUAAAGGAAUUGACGGGG
rnacentral:rRNA from 1 species